UAAAUGUACUGAUAAACAAUAUCAAAACUAUAAAUGACUGCAUCUUAAAUAUUUCACCAUAAAAAAACUGUUGAAGACAGGAGACUGAUAAAACACAUCAUGUCAUCAUGCUUCGUACACAGUUAAUUAUUGUUUUAAUAGCCGUAUUGAUUCAAAAAUCAUUACAAAGUAAUAUUCCACUGAUAUCAUACGAUAUAGAACGAGAUGGGGAUCAACCUUACGAGAAGACACCGCAAUUACCACAUCAGAAUAUUAUAAUGGACAAAGAUCUAAUAGACGAUGGUGAUGGUUGGACGACUCUGGGAUCUAACCACAAUCCAGGACAUGUCACGCUAUCGCCGAGAACGGGAAUAAAAACGUACGUCUCGAAAGACAGUUAUCAACGACGGUCCAUCCAAAACGUCAUAGAUCAAAUACUAUUGGAAAACGCUCGUAGAAAACAACAAACCCCUUAUUGGGUAAAAAAAAUCCGUACACGUCCGUAUAAAAACAAAGCAGUUCUACUAAGUCAUAAAAAUAAAACAAAACAAAAGCUUUCGAACAGACCACACCGACCAACAAGGAGACCGAGAAAAAAGCCAAAAGAAGUAUCGGAAGGCGAUUUACAGGAGACCGUCUUGGCAAAAUUAAAAUGGCAUUGGCCUCGUUUUUGGCCUUUCUGGCCAGAUUUCGAAUGGAAACAAUAGGCCAAUUAAAUCCAAAUAUAUAAAGUUACAAAUAAUUUAUUAGAAAUAUGUAUCAUUAAAUAUCCUUCUCCUUGAGUAUCUUGAGAUAUUUUUAUUUGAUAUCCGAUAAAAAUAAUACAUUUGCCUUUGAAUUAUAAUAUAUAUUACGUUAAUGUUAAGUAUUAAAAAACUGAUUUAGGCGAUUAAAUAAAUAACCAAAACGAUUAAA